rnacentral:rRNA from 1 species
GACGAACGCUGGCGGCGUGCUUAACACAUGCAAGUCGAGCGGAAAGGCCCUUUGGGGUACUCGAGCGGCGAACGGGUGAGUAACACGUGAGUAAUCUGCCCUGCACUUUGGGAUAACUGCCGGAAACGGUGGCUAAUACCGGAUAUGACUCCUUGCCGCAUGGUGGGGGGUGGAAAGUUUUUUCGGUGCGGGAUGUGCUCGCGGCCUAUCAGCUUGAUGGUGGGGUAAUGGCCUACCAUGGCUUCGACGGGUAGCCGGCCUGAGAGGGUGACCGGCCACACUGGGACUGAGACACGGCCCAGACUCCUACGGGAGGCAGCAGUGGGGAAUAUUGGACAAUGGGCGGAAGCCUGAUCCAGCAACGCCGCGUGAGGGAUGACGGCCUUCGGGUUGUAAACCUCUUUCACCUGUGACGAAGUCUCUGCUUUUUGGUGGGGGUGACGGUAGCGGGAGAAGAAGCACCGGCCAACUACGUGCCAGCCGCCGCGGUAAAAC